CUUUUCCCCCUUGCUGGGUGAGAGGUGUCUAUGGGGCACCCGCUGCAGCCGCCGCUACCGCCACCACCACCGCGCCAAGUGCUGUCUCUAUGGCGAGGAGGAGGAGGAGGAGCGCGAGCUCAGCGACGCAAGUACAUAAAUAAAGGAUAAAGUAUUUUAUGAAAAAAAAUCUUCAAUCAAGUAUAACAUUUUGAUGCUUGGCAUCUAGACUCCCUUGUGCCCUCACUAUGCCAGCAGCAACUGUAGAUCAUAGUCAAAGAAUUUGUGAAGUUUGGGCUUGCAACCUGGAUGAAGAGAUGAAGAAAAUUCGUCAAGUUAUUCGAAAGUAUAACUACGUUGCUAUGGACGCCGAGUUUCCAGCUGUGGUUGCAAGACCCAUUGGAGAAUUCAGGAGCAAUGCUGACUAUCAGUACCAACUAUUGCGAUGUAAUGUAGACUUGUUAAAGAUAAUUCAGCUAGGACUGACAUUUAUGAAUGAGCAAGGAGAAUACCCUCCAGGAACUUCAACUUGGCAGUUUAAUUUUAAGUUUAAUUUGACGGAGGGCAUGUAUGCCCAGGACUCUAUAGAGCUACUAACAACAUCUGGCAUCCAGUUUAAGAAACAUGAGGAGGAAGGAAUUGAGACCCAGUACUUUGCAGAACUUCUUAUGACUUCGGGAGUGGUCCUCUGUGAAGGGGUCAAAUGGUUGUCAUUUCAUAGUGGUUGUGACUUUGGCUAUUUAAUCAAAAUCCUGACCAACUCUAACUUGCCUGAAGAAGAACUUGACUUCUUUGAGAUCCUUCGAUUAUUUUUUCCUGUCAUUUAUGAUGUGAAGUACCUCAUGAAGAGCUGCAAAAAUCGCAAAGGUGGAUUAUAAGAAGUUGCUGAACAAUUGGAGCUGGAACGAAUAGGACCACAGCAUCAGGCAGGAUCUGAUUCACUGCUCACAGGAAUGGCCUUUUUCAAAAUGAGAGAAAUGUUCUUUGAAGAUCAUAUUGAUGAUGCCAAAUAUUGUGGUCAUUUGUAUAGCCUUGGUUCUGGUUCAUCCUAUGUACAGAAAGGCACAGGGAAUGCAUAUGAAGAGGAAGCCAACAAGCAGUCAUGACAUGAAAUAGUCCUUGUAUUUUUAUUUUAUUUGAGCUACACACAUGCUUGUAUAUAGGUUUUAUCUCUGGUUGAAUCCUUGACAAUAGACAGUACCUUUCUUUUUUCCCUUUCAUAGCCCAUUUUAUUUUCUGCCUUUCAGUACUAAGUAUGACUGUUCCUAUCUCAGAUCUUAAUAAAUAGAAACGCAUUCAGGUUAAAUUUGGCCUUAAUUUAAUAUAGUUGUUAGCAAGCGUGUGUAACAGUGGGGAAAGCUAUAUCAUAUUGAAUAUUUUGAUAAACUUUACCUACUUGAGCUUGGUUUAUUUUUCCCUUUUCCUAAAUUAACGAGCACUGACUGUAAUUUA